GAGUUUGAUCGUGGCUCAGGAUGAACGCUGGCGGCGUGCUUAACACAUGCAAGUCGAACGGGCUCAUAUUGAAACCUAGUGAUUUAUGAGUUAGUGGCGGACGGGUGAGUAACGCGUGGAAAACCUGCCGUAUACUGGGGGGAUAACACUUAGAAAUAGGUGCUAAUACCGCAUAAGCGCACAGCUUCGCAUGAAGUGGUGUGAAAAACUCUGGUGGUAUACGAUGGUUCCGCGUCUGAUUAGCUUGUUGGCGGGGUAAUGGCUCACCAAGGCAACGAUCAGUAGCCGGCCUGAGAGGGUGAACGGCCACAUUGGGACUGAGACACGGCCCAAACUCCUACGGGAGGCAGCAGUGGGGAAUAUUGCACAAUGGGGGAAACCCUGAUGCAGCGACGCCGCGUGAGUGAAGAAGUAUUUCGGUAUGUAAAGCUCUAUCAGCAGGGAAGAAAAUGACGGUACCUGAUUAAGAAGCCCCGGCUAACUACGUGCCAGCCGCCGCCGUAA
rnacentral:rRNA from 1 species